rnacentral:lncRNA from 1 species
UCCUUGACUAUCAGCUGCGCUACUAUGACCAGGUGGGCAGGGGGUCAGGGCAGAGCUCUCAACCACGACAAGCCUGACCCUGCAAUGGCGUGGCUGUGGAGGAGGGCAAGAGGUGCCAAGAACCUCAGGCACCAGGGAUAUCACAGAGGAAGAGAGGGGACAAGGCAGGGACAAAUGAGUGAGUGAUUGUUGUCCCUAGGCAGAAGAUGAAUCCCACUCCUUCACCAUGACCAGUGAGACUAACACUGCCACUGUGACACGGUUGAGCCCUGGCCACAUUUAUGGCUUCCAGGUUCGAGCACGGACUGCGGCUGGCCAUGGCCCCUAUGGGGGCAAAGUCUAUUUUCAGACACUGCCUCAAGGUGAGCUGUCCUCCCAGCUUCCAGAGAAGCUGUCCUUGGUGAUUGGUUCCAUCCUGGGGGCCUUGGCCUUCCUUCUACUGGCAGCCAUCACUGUACUGGCUGUCAUCU